GACGAACGCUGGCGGCGUGCCUAAUACAUGCAAGUAGAACGCUGAAGGAGGAGCUUGCCCUUCUGGAUGAGUUGCGAACGGGUGAGUAACGCGUAGGUAACCUGCCUGGUAGCGGGGGAUAACUAUUGGAAACGAUAGCUAAUACCGCAUAACAGUAGAUGUUGCAUGACAUUUACUUAAAAGGUGCAAUUGCAUCACUACCAGAUGGACCUGCGUUGUAUUAGCUAGUUGGUGGGGUAACGGCUCACCAAGGCGACGAUACAUAGCCGACCUGAGAGGGUGAUCGGCCACACUGGGACUGAGACACGGCCCAGACUCCUACGGGAGGCAGCAGUAGGGAAUCUUCGGCAAUGGACGGAAGUCUGACCGAGCAACGCCGCGGGAGUGAAGAAGGUUGUCGGAUCGUAAAGCUCUGUUGUAAGAGAAGAACGAGUGUGAGAGUGGAAAGUUCCCACUGUGACGGUAGCUUACCAGAAAGGGACGGCUAACUACGUG
rnacentral:rRNA from 1 species